rnacentral:rRNA from 1 species
AGAUUGAACGCUGGCGGCAGGCCUAACACAUGCAAGUCGAGCGGCAGCACGGGUACUUGUACCUGGUGGCGAGCGGCGGACGGGUGAGUAAUGCCUAGGAAUCUGCCUGAUAGUGGGGGAUAACGUUCGGAAACGGACGCUAAUACCGCAUACGUCCUACGGGAGAAAGUGGGGGAUCUUCGGACCUCACGCUAUCAGAUGAGCCUAGGUCGGAUUAGCUAGUUGGUAGGGUAAAGGCCUACCAAGGCUACGAUCCGUAGCUGGUCUGAGAGGAUGAUCAGUCACACUGGAACUGAGACACGGUCCAGACUCCUACGGGAGGCAGCAGUGGGGAAUAUUGGACAAUGGGCGAAAGCCUGAUCCAGCCAUGCCGCGUGUGUGAAGAAGGUCUUCGGAUUGUAAAGCACUUUAAGUUGGGAGAAGGCAUUAACCUAAUACGUUAGUGUUUGACGUUACGACAGAAUAAGCACGGCUAACUCUGUGCCAGCAGCGUACG